GGAGAGAUGGCUCAGUGGUUAAGAGCACUGGCUGCUCUUCCAGAGGAUCUGGGUUCAAUCCCUAGUGUCCACA
rnacentral:tRNA from 1 species